UCUAUCAAUUCCCAUUCUUGUUGAAUCGUGUUAUUAGUAUUAUCAGAAAACGACACAUUUCGACAGCAACCGUUGAAACAUAAAGAAAAUAAUAGUGAUAACUAAGUCACAUUUCAUAGUGUAUGAAAAUCUGUGACCGGAAAAAAUCUAGAAGAAAGUAAGAGCAUCAGAAAUAACCGCAGAGAAAAAACAGCCCACCAGAAAUAUUCAAUCCGAGUCGAUCGCCGACCCACAAGAAAAUCAGUAUUCCAUUGAUUGCCGGUUAACCUAAAACAUAGGAUAUUAUCCUACACUAAGGUCCGACUGAGCUUUAGCAAGCUUCGGACGACAUACGGUCCGCCCUGGUUGUGACACCAGGGACACUCUACCGCCUAGUUGCCUAUCUCUUCCUAUAUAGGAAAUUGGUAUAUACUCGGAUGAUGCAAACAUCAUAGUUAUCAGUGGGUGCAAAAAUUAUAUAAGUGCCUACAUCUCAGCUGACGCAACUGUCAGUAGGGUUCAAAACCAAUCAAACCACCUACAUCUAAGCUGUUUUGGUGCUAGAGAUGUUGGCAUCAAAAACAUGACUGCCUAGAAGGUAUAUUAUUGUUUCGAAAAUAUUCAAGAUUUUUGAUGAACGUCGUCAGCGAUUGGUGGUAUUGUUCAGAGACAAGCUUUACUAUGGAAAAGUUCGCCUAAAACAGCGGUAAUCCACCUUUUUCAGACGGGCCGCAAACACGUGUUAGUGUUAGACACAAAGAAAAUAAAGAUGGGACCAAGACACGAUCGCAUUGUUAACAUAGAACUACGAAAUUAUUGCUUAUUAUUGCAAACAUUGAAGUGGUUCAAUGAUAAAACUUUGAUACAAAUAUUGGGUAGGGGAAAAAGAAAUAUCGUAUAUUGUCAAUAUAUGGUAACACUUAAACAUAUCUUGGGUUGUACUUAUCGCAUCGGGUCAUACUAUAUGGCUAUUUUGCCUUCUAUAUGGCAACAAGUUUGCGAACAAAACGGCGCGUAUUUGACUUAAAUUGGAUAAUUUUAAGUAUGUUAAAAAAGCGACGACAUUUCUUUUUCCCCAAUCCUAUAUUUGAUAGCAAUGCGUUAACGUUUCGCAAGCAAUUUAAGUAGAUUGUAGAAUUAAUACUACAUUAAUACUACUUUUUCUCCGACACUACAGUCGGAGAAAAAAGAGAGAAUCGAGACGCUCAUUCUACCGUUUUGUUUUGUUCUCUAAAUCGUUUGUAGUAUGACAGUAGCUCACUAGCUGAAAAGUUUUUGAUCGCGUGUGAACUAUGACAUGAUACUUUUGAUAUACGUGAACGUCAUCAAAAAUGUGGACUGUUUACAACUCUGGUUUUAUGAAUAUAGUUUGAGCAACCACCAAAACUGAAAGCAGAAGUAAAGAACUGACUUUUCGCAGUUCCAUUUUUGUUGAAGAACUGGUGCUAUAUUCACUCAAUCAACGGUUUACAAAGCCAGUUAUCAUUUCUAAACCCAUAAAAUUUAGUUAAUGAAAUGCGCUCUAUAACAAUACCAAUUCGAACAAACGUUGAAUAAACUAUCAAACUUUGUUCAAAGUAAGCUUUGAAUUUUGGUUUCCUUCGAUAUGAUUGUGAAGACAUUUGAAGACAUUUUUCGUAUAAUGUGAAGACAUUUGAAAAAAUCACCUGGCAUCCCUGCUUGCAUAUCACAUGAUUGUUCCACCUGGUUUAUAUAUACAAACAUACCUUGUGCUUGUUUACUGUCAGUGUUCAAUGGUAAUGUUUAAUGGUCUCAGGUUUAUUGAAGCAAUGACUUUUAAAAUAUAUAUUUGAGUGCAAAUAACAAUGAACAAAACCAACUGUGAAAUAACUAGUGGGCCGAAUAUUGUUAUGGAGGCUCCAAAAUCGAAACUCUUUGCUCAAACUAUUGUGGACAUUAAGGAUGACUUCGAAGAUAAAUAUGAGAAGGUUUAUCGAUCAUACGAAAAGACUAUUUUGAAUGCGAAUGAUAAAGAAUUACAACACCUGCUAUCAGCAACUUUAUGUAAAGAGAAACAACAUGAAGAGAUAUGCUUAGCGCUGAUGUACACGAUUUUGACAGAUGCAAGCGCUGCAGAGAAAGCAUAUUGUGAUCUCACGUUAUUAACCCACGAUGGUCUUUUGUUUGUAACGAACAAUUUGGCAAUGCUCGUAGCUGAAAAAUAUCAUCGGCUGAAUGAUGUUUCACGAAAGCAGUUAUUAUGGUUUCUUAGAGAACUAAUUAAAAAUCAAGUGAUGAAUGUUGAUAAUCUUGUGUGGAACAUAUUACGACAAGCUAGCGGUGGAGAUAUAAGCUCAAGAAAUAUAGCCUUAGUAGAAGGUCUUUUGGAUAUAUUUAUCGAAUAUCGCUUAUGGUUGGAAAAAGACCAGUUUUUAGUCGGCACCGUAGUCUAUACGUUUUUGAGGUAACUAAUGAGAAAGUAUAUAUUUUAGUAUGAAUAGUUUUAGAGAUUUUCUAUCAAUUCCCAUUCUUGUUGAAUCGUGUUAUUAGUAUUAUCAGAAAACGACACAUUUCGACAGCAACCGUUGAAACAUAAAGAAAAUAAUAGUGAUAACUAAGUCACAUUUCAUAGUGUAUGAAAAUCUGUGACCGGAAAAAAUCUAGAAGAAAGUAAGAGCAUCAGAAAUAACCGCAGAGAAAAAACAGCCCACCAGAAAUAUUCAAUCCGAGUCGAUCGCCGACCCACAAGAAAAUCAGUAUUCCAUUGAUUGCCGGUUAACCUAAAACAUAGGAUAUUAUCCUACACUAAGGUCCGACUGAGCUUUAGCAAGCUUCGGACGACAUACGGUCCGCCCUGGUUGUGACACCAGGGACACUACCGCCUAGUUGCCUAUCUCUUCCUAUAUAGGAAAUUGGUAUAUACUCGGAUGAUGCAAACAUCAUAGUUAUCAGUGGGUGCAAAAAUUAUAUAAGUGCCUACAUCUCAGCUGACGCAACUGUCAGUAGGGUUCAAAACCAAUCAAACCACCUACAUCUAAGCUGUUUUGGUGCUAGAGAUGUUGGCAUCAAAAACAUGACUGCCUAGAAGGUAUAUUAUUGUUUCGAAAAUAUUCAAGAUUUUUGAUGAACGUCGUCAGCGAUUGGUGGUAUUGUUCAGAGACAAGCUUUACUAUGGAAAAGUUCGCCUAAAACAGCGGUAAUCCACCUUUUUCAGACGGGCCGCAAACACGUGUUAGUGUUAGACACAAAGAAAAUAAAGAUGGGACCAAGACACGAUCGCAUUGUUAACAUAGAACUACGAAAUUAUUGCUUAUUAUUGCAAACAUUGAAGUGGUUCAAUGAUAAAACUUUGAUACAAAUAUUGGGUAGGGGAAAAAGAAAUAUCGUAUAUUGUCAAUAUAUGGUAACACUUAAACAUAUCUUGGGUUGUACUUAUCGCAUCGGGUCAUACUAUAUGGCUAUUUUGCCUUCUAUAUGGCAACAAGUUUGCGAACAAAACGGCGCGUAUUUGACUUAAAUUGGAUAAUUUUAAGUAUGUUAAAAAAGCGACGACAUUUCUUUUUCCCCAAUCCUAUAUUUGAUAGCAAUGCGUUAACGUUUCGCAAGCAAUUUAAGUAGAUUGUAGAAUUAAUACUACAUUAAUACUACUUUUUCUCCGACACUACAGUCGGAGAAAAAAGAGAGAAUCGAGACGCUCAUUCUACCGUUUUGUUUUGUUCUCUAAAUCGUUUGUAGUAUGAAGUAGCUCACUAGCUGAAAAGUUUUUGAUCGCGUGUGAACUAUGACAUGAUACUUUUGAUAUACGUGAACGUCAUCAAAAAUGUGGACUGUUUACAACUCUGGUUUUAUGAAUAUAGUUUGAGCAACCACCAAAACUGAAAGCAGAAGUAAAGAACUGACUUUUCGCAGUUCCAUUUUUGUUGAAGAACUGGUGCUAUAUUCACUCAAUCAACGGUUUACAAAGCCAGUUAUCAUUUCUAAACCCAUAAAAUUUAGUUCGCUGUUGUUCUUUGUUCAUCCUUUUUGGAAUGAACUUCAAAACUUCAAGGUAAGUUUAAUGAAAUGCGCUCUAUAACAAUACCAAUUCGAACAAACGUUGAAUAAACUAUCAAACUUUGUUCAAAGUAAGCUUUGAAUUUUGGUUUCCUUCGAUAUGAUUGUGAAGACAUUUGAAGACAUUUUUCGUAUAAUGUGAAGACAUUUGAAAAAAUCACCUGGCAUCCCUGCUUGCAUAUCACAUGAUUGUUCCACCUGGUUUAUAUAUACAAACAUACCUUGUGCUUGUUUACUGUCAGUGUUCAAUGGUAAUGUUUAAUGGUCUCAGGUUUAUUGAAGCAAUGACUUUUAAAAUAUAUAUUUGAGUGCAAAUAACAAUGAACAAAACCAACUGUGAAAUAACUAGUGGGCCGAAUAUUGUUAUGGAGGCUCCAAAAUCGAAACUCUUUGCUCAAACUAUUGUGGACAUUAAGGAUGACUUCGAAGAUAAAUAUGAGAAGGCUUAUCGAUCAUACGAAAAGACUAUUUUGAAUGCGAAUGAUAAAGAAUUACAACACCUGCUAUCAGCAACUUUAUGUAAAGAGAAACAACAUGAAGAGAUAUGCUUAGCGCUGAUGUACACGAUUUUGACAGAUCCAAGCGCUGCAGAGAAAGCAUAUUGUGAUCUCACGUUAUUUACCCACGAUGGUCUUUUGUUUGUAACGAACAAUUUGGCAAUGCUCGUAGCUGAAAAAUAUCAUCGGCUGAAUGAUGUUUCACGAAAGCAGUUAUUAUGGUUUCUUAGAGAACUAAUUAAAAAUCAAGUGAUGAAUGUUGAUAAUCUUGUGUGGAACAUAUUACGACAAGCUAGCGGUGGAGAUAUAAGCCCAAGAAAUAUAGCCUUAGUAGAAGGUCUUUUGGAUAUAUUUAUCGAAUAUCGCUUAUGGUUGGAAAAAGACCAGUUUUUAGUCGGCACCGUAGUCUAUACGUUUUUGAGGUAACUAAUGAGAAAGUAUAUAUUUUAGUAUGAAUAGUUUUAGAGAUUUUCUAUCAAUUCCCAUUCUUGUUGAAUCGUGUUAUUAGUAUUAUCAGAAAACGACACAUUUCGACAGCAACCGUUGAAACAUAAAGAAAAUAAUAGUGAUAACUAAGUCACAUUUCAUAGUGUAUGAAAAUCUGUGACCGGAAAAAAUCUAGAAGAAAGUAAGAGCAUCAGAAAUAACCGCAGAGAAAAAACAGCCCACCAGAAAUAUUCAAUCCGAGUCGAUCGCCGACCCACAAGAAAAUCAGUAUUCCAUUGAUUGCCGGUUAACCUAAAACAUAGGAUAUUAUCCUACACUAAGGUCCGACUGAGCUUUAGCAAGCUUCGGACGACAUACGGUCCGCCCUGGUUGUGACACCAGGGACACUCUACCGCCUAGUUGCCUAUCUCUUCCUAUAUAGGAAAUUGGUAUAUACUCGGAUGAUGCAAACAUCAUAGUUAUCAGUGGGUGCAAAAAUUAUAUAAGUGCCUACAUCUCAGCUGACGCAACUGUCAGUAGGGUUCAAAACCAAUCAAACCACCUACAUCUAAGCUGUUUUGGUGCUAGAGAUGUUGGCAUCAAAAACAUGACUGCCUAGAAGGUAUAUUAUUGUUUCGAAAAUAUUCAUGAUUUUUGAUGAACGUCGUCAGCGAUUGGUGGUAUUGUUCAGAGACAAGCUUUACUAUGGAAAAGUUCGCCUAAAACAGCGGUAAUCCACCUUUUUCAGACGGGCCGCAAACACGUGUUAGUGUUAGUGUCGCGGGCCACAAAGAAAAUAAAGAAGGGACCAAGACACGACCGCAUUGUUAACAUAGAACUACGAAAUUAUUGCAUAUUAUUGCAAACAUUGAAGUGGUUCAAUGAUAAAACUUUGAUACAAAUAUUGGGUUGGGGAAAAAGAAAUAUCGUAUAUUGUCAAUAUAUGGUAACACUUAAACAUAUCUUGGGUUGUACUUAUCGCAUCGGGUCAUACUAUACGGCUAUUUUGCCUUCUAUAUGGCAACAAGUUUGCGAACAAAACGGCGCGUAUUUGACUUAAAUUGGAUAAUUUUAAGUAUGUUAAAAAAGCGACGACAUUUCUUUUCCCCAAUCCUAUAUUUGAUAGCAAUGCGCUAACGUUUCGCAAGCAAUUUAAGUAGAUUGUAGAAUUAAUUCUG